rnacentral:rRNA from 1 species
ACGGGAGGCAGCAGCUAAGAAUAUUCCGCAAUGGACGAAAGUCUGACGGAGCGACGCCGCGUGGAUGAUGAAGGUCGGAAGAUUGUAAAAUCCUUUUAUAACUGAGGAAUAAGUAUGGUGAGAGAAACGCCAUAUGGUGACUGUAGGUUAUGAAUAAGCAACGGCUAAUUACGUGCCAGCAGCCGCGGUAACACGUAAGUUGCGAGCGUUGUUCGGAAUUAUUGGGCGUAAAGGGCAUGUAGGCGGUUUUGCAAGCUUGGUGUGAAAUUCCGGAGCUCAACUCCGGAACUGCGUUGAGAACUGCAUAACUAGAGUCACUGAGGGGCAAUCAGAAUUCCUGGUGUAGGGGUGAAAUCUGUUGAUAUCUGGAAGAAUACCAAUGGCGAAGGCAGCCUGCCAGCAGAUGACUGACGCUGAGGUGCGAAGGUGCGGGGAGCAAACAGGAUUAGAUACCCUGGUA